rnacentral:rRNA from 1 species
AAAAACAACUCUCAGCAACGGAUAUCUUGGCUCUUCCCCAACCACACCCCCAACCA